GACGAACGCUGGCGGCGUGCUUAACACAUGCAAGUCGAACGGAAAGGCCCUGCUUUUGUGGGGUGCUCGAGUGGCGAACGGGUGAGUAACACGUGAGUAACCUGCCCUUGACUUUGGGAUAACUUCAGGAAACUGGGGCUAAUAUCGGAUAGGAGCUCCUGCUGCAUGGUGGGGGUUGGAAAGUUUCGGCGGUUGGGGAUGGACUCGCGGCUUAUCAGCUUGUUGGUGGGGUAGUGGCUUACCAAGGCUUUGACGGGUAGCCGGCCUGAGAGGGUGACCGGCCACAUUGGGACUGAGAUACGGCCCAGACUCCUACGGGAGGCAGCAGUGGGGAAUAUAGCACAAUGGGCGGAAGCCUGAUGCAGCAACGCCGCGUGCGGGAUGACGGCCUUCGGGUUGUAAACCGCUUUCGCCUGUGACGAAGCGUGAGUGACGGUAAUGGGUAAAGAAGCACCGGCUAACUACGUG
rnacentral:rRNA from 1 species